AGUUCUAUAAGAGAGCGUGUGCCGAAGGCCUCGGCCUUUCACAUUCGGGAAGCGUCGGGAUUAGGUGAAAGUACGUAGUUGUCUUUCGUAAGUUAAAAUGAUAAUUGGGCCGAAACUUACUGCCUUACCUAAAAGGCAGCGCAGUCAGGAUAUUGGUAGGUCGGGGGCGGCUUUGGAAACCCUUAAGUUUACAAGCAUGCGCGGACUUGAGUGCUCAUUAGGUCGCCGGGCGUCCACGUGCAGCCCUGGACCCUGAACCCCGGCGUGCGUGGGCCGUGGGCCCUCGGGGAAAGGUUCCGUGCACUCGGGGACUCCGGUGAAGCCUGUUCAGCCGUCUGUGUCAUGUGGCCAUCUUGAGUCUACUCUGUCGCUCUUGUGCCCUAGCACCCCGAGAACCGUCAGUUUGAGCCAGAUGGUGAGUAAUAACCUGUAGCAGUUUGGUUGCUGGUUAAUUCUGGAUUGUGAAUCUCCAUGUAUCUUUGGGACCUGUCAGCCGUGGCAGUCUCCCUUCCUAGCCAUGGAAGAGCAUAUCCUUGUUUAUUGGCAAAGCUGUCACCAUUUAAUUGGUAUCAGAUUCUGACUUGCACAAGUAACAUUCACUGUUAAAAACCUAGAGGGUGCCGGGUUAUUGGGCAAAAUUUCUAAACCGUUGUUCAAUGUUUCUAGGAAGCUGAGCUGAACACAUUACGAUGGAUGAUGGAAACAUAAGGUACAUUUCUUUUUUGAUAUUUCUGAGUUAAUCUGAAACGCCUUAGCGGCAGGACGUUGGAAAGCUAAAGUUGGCCCGUUUUGCUGGCUUUUGUAGUUUGAGUUAACAACCAACUGAAUUAGCUGAUAAGAUCUCAAAACAGUGAGGUAAGUACACAGCUCGGAGUUUUAUAAUGCUUUUUUUCUCUUGCAGACUAUCAAGAAAUCCAAGUGGUAAUGGGCGAAGUUUAUUCAGCAUCCGGCAAUGGACUUAUCGUAGUUGGGGAAACGGGUGUUCCGAAUAAUAUCCUGGAAGUUAUCAGGACACCUAUUUUAAAUAUAGGCCUGAAUUUUGUAAAGUAAUAUUUAAGGUGGUCCGUGAUAAUUAAAUAAAAUGCUUAAUUCAUGUGGCUACUCA
ensembl:lncRNA SNHG8 small nucleolar RNA host gene 8